UACGUAGGGGGCAAGCGUUGUUCGGAAUUACUGGGCGUAAAGGGCGCGUAGGCGGCACGGCAAGUUGGGAGUGAAAGGCCUGGGCUCAACCGAGGAACUGCUUUCGAGACUGCCGAGCUAGAGUGCGGAAGGGGCAACUGGAAUUCCCAGUGUAGCGGUGAAAUGCGUAGAUAUUGGGAGGAAUACCGAUGGCGAAGGCAGGUCUCUGGGCUAGAACUGACGCUCAUGCACGAAAGCGUGGGGAGCAAACAGG
rnacentral:rRNA from 1 species